GACGAACGCUGGCGGCGUGCCUAAUACAUGCAAGUAGAACGCUGAAGGAGGAGCUUGCUUCUCUGGAUGAGUUGCGAACGGGUGAGUAACGCGUAGGUAACCUGCCUGGUAGCGGGGGAUAACUAUUGGAAACGAUAGCUAAUACCGCAUAAGAGUAGAUGUUGCAUGACAUUUGCUUAAAAGGUGCAAUUGCAUCACUACCAGAUGGACCUGCGUUGUAUUAGCUAGUUGGUGGGGUAACGGCUCACCAAGGCGACGAUACAUAGCCGACCUGAGAGGGUGAUCGGCCACACUGGGACUGAGACACGGCCCAGACUCCUACGGGAGGCAGCAGUAGGGAAUCUUCGGCAAUGGACGGAAGUCUGACCGAGCAACGCCGCGUGAGUGAAGAAGGUUUUCGGAUCGUAAAGCUCUGUUGUAAGAGAAGAACGAGUGUGAGAGUGGAAAGUUCACACUGUGACGGUAUCUUACCAGAAAGGGACGGCUAACUACGUG
rnacentral:rRNA from 1 species